CGUCUUCCGCGCCGGACCGUGUACAAGUCUCCUGGAAGGGAGCAUCGUAGAGGGUGACAAUCCCGUCUCUGACACGGACCGCCGGCGCUGUGCGAUGCGCUCUCGACGAGUCGAGUUGUUUGGGAAUGCAGCUCAAAUCGGGUGGUAAACUCCAUCUAAAGCUAAAUACGGGCGAGAGACCGAUAGCGAACAAGUACCGUGAGGGAAAGAUGAAAAGAACUUUGGAAAGAGAGUUAAACAGUACGUGAAAUUGCUGGAAGGGAAACGCUUGACGUCAGUCGCGUCGUCCGGGGAUCAACCCUGCCUCUGGCUGGGCGUAUUUCCCGGUCGACGGGUCAGCAUCGAUUUCGAUCGUCGUAGAAGGACGGGAGCGAACGUGGCACUCCACGGAGUGUGUUAUAGCCUUCCGUAUGGAUGCGACGGUCGGGAUCGAGGAACUCGGCACGGCCCCUCGAGGGUUCGGGACUUCGGUCCACGCAGCGUGCCCAGGAUGCUGGCGUAAUGGCUUUAAGCGACCCGUCUUGAAACACGGACCAAGGAGUCUAACGUGCCUGCGAGUGUUUGGGUGAAAAACCCGAGCGCGCAACGAAAGUGAAAGUCGAGACCUCCGUCGCGGAGGGCACCGACGCCCGGACCGGAGCCUUUGGCGAUGGAUCUGCGGUAGAGCAUGUAUGUUGGGACCCGAAAGAUGGUGAACUAUGCCUGAAUAGGGCGAAGCCAGAG
rnacentral:rRNA from 1 species